rnacentral:rRNA from 1 species
ACUUUGCAAUGUGCGAAAGCACGACAAGGUUAAUCCGAGUGGUUUCUGCUAAAGGAACCUUUUGUUAGUCAUAGAACCACUAAUGAAUAAGGGGUGGGCAAGUUCUGGUGUCAGCCGCCGCGGUAAAACCAGCACCUCAAGUGGUCAGGAUGAUUAUUGGGCCUAAAGCAUCCGUAGCCGGCUCUGUAAGUUUUCGGUUAAAUCUGUACGCUCAACGUACAGGCUGCCGGGAAUACUGCAGAGCUAGGGAGUGGGAGAGGUAGACGGUACUCGGUAGGAAGGGUAAAAUCCUUUGAUCUAUUGAUGACCACCUGUGGCGAAGGCGGUCUACCAGAACAC